UUAACUCGAUCGAUCUCCUGAUCUUCCUUCACCAAAAUUCUUAACAUCCAUCAGUAAUGCUAUAUAUGAUAAUUCAUGUAAGUAUCUCAUGACCGAAGUCUCUACUCAAUAUGACAUUUAUUAGUGGCUUCAUCAAUAAUGACAAAAGAUCCCUGCUCAAGUCUUAAACCUAGGCUUGAGUUUUAAAUUAACACAUCAAAUAGUCUUCUACAAUUAUAAGUAAAAUCCAGUAGCCCAAUCCAAACAUGAGAAUUCAAAUAAUUAGAAUUCUCCCAUCAAUAUGCAUACUCUAUGGCCUCAAAAUAAUCAAAUAGCACUGAAUCUAAUUGUCAUGUCCAAAGUGAUCAUAACCUUAAGCUAUGAUAUAUUUCUGUCACGAUCCCUAGUGAUCUUAAACAUAUGCUCAGAUUCCAACUGGUCACAUUUUCCAAUAAUCUUAAACCUCAAACUUUAGUGCCACUAAGGCCACAGUCCCUAGUGGUCUUAAACCUUAGAUUAUAAUAUCAUUCUUGUUACAAUCUCAGG
rnacentral:lncRNA from 1 species